rnacentral:tRNA from 1 species
GGGGAGAUGCCUGAGUGGUCGAAAGGGCAUCACUGGAAAUGAUGUAGGCUGCUUAACCCAGUCUCCGGGGUUCGAAUCCCCGUCUCCCCGC